rnacentral:lncRNA from 1 species
AAAUCAGAUGAAGAAAAAUAAAAGAGAAUUUUAGAAAUUACUUUGGGAUUUUUUGGAUAAAAAAGAAAUUACUAUAAAUUUUUAAAGAAAAAAUAAUUUAAAAAUAAGAAUAGAAAAAGAAAUAAAUCAGAAAAAACCAGGAGCGUUGGAUCACGCCUCAUUAAUUCACUUGGCAUAUCCAACACUCCAAAUGUUAAGGGACACGAUGGAACAUGUUGUAAGCAAAGCACAAGAUCCAGUUUGAAUCUAACCAAUCAAAACAUUUCAAAAUGCCAACGUGCCUGGUUCAAACUCAGACCACCUGAGGAAAUCUCCGAUCAUCUUGUCUGGUGAGCUCUCCCGGAGUUUCAUCAUUUGGUAAAUUCAAGACACAAG